GAUGAACGCUGGCGGCGUGCCUAAUACAUGCAAGUAGAACGCUGAAGGAAGGAGCUUGCUCUUUCCGGAUGAGUUGCGAACGGGUGAGUAACGCGUAGGUAACCUGCCUGGUAGCGGGGGAUAACUAUUGGAAACGAUAGCUAAUACCGCAUAACAGUAGAUGUUGCAUGACAUUUGCUUGAAAGGUGCAAUUGCAUCACUACCAGAUGGACCUGCGUUGUAUUAGCUAGUUGGUGAGGUAACGGCUCACCAAGGCGACGAUACAUAGCCGACCUGAGAGGAUGACCAGCCACACCGGGACUGAGACGCGGCCCGGACUCCUACGGGAGGCAGCAGUGGGGAAUAUUGCGCAAUGGGGGCAACCCUGACGCAGCCAUGCCGCGUGAAUGAAGAAGGCCUUCGGGUUGUAAAGUUCUUUCGGUAUUGAGGAAGGUUGUUGUGUUAAUAGCACGACAAAUUGACGUUAAAUACAGAAGAAGCACCGGCUAACUCCGUGCCAGCAGCCGCGGUAAUACGGAGGGUGCGAGCGUUAAUCGGAAUAACUGGGCGUAAAGGGCACGCAGGCGGACUUUUAAGUGAGGUGUGAAAUCCCCGGGCUUAACCUGGGAAUUGCAUUUCAGACUGGGAGUCUAGAGUACUUUAGGGAGGGGUAGAAUUCCACGUGUAGCGGUGAAAUGCGUAGAGAUGUGGAGGAAUACCGAAGGCGAAGGCAGCCCCUUGGGAAUGUACUGACGCUCAUGUGCGAAAGCGUGGGGAGCAAACAGG
rnacentral:rRNA from 1 species